AGGGCUGCGGCUCAGUGGUAAAGCCUUUGCUUGGAAUGCAGAAAGUCCCCGGUUCAAUCCCCGGUAACUCCA
rnacentral:tRNA from 1 species